rnacentral:lncRNA from 10 species
CUGCCUCCCAGGUUCACACCAUUCUCCUGCCUCAGCCUCCCGAGUAGCUGGGACUACAGGUGCCCGUCACCAUCACCCACUAAUUUUUUGUAUUUUUAGUAGAGACGGGGUUUCACCAUAGCCAGAAUGGUCUUGAUCUCCUGAUCUUGUGAUCUGCCCGCCUUGGCCUCCCAAAGUUCUGGUAUUACAGGCGUGAGCCACUGUGCCCGGCUAGUCUCAGGAGUUUUUAUAGGCACAGGAUGGGGGCAUAGCAGGCCAGGAUGGUCUUGGGAAAUGCAACAUUUGGGCAUUAGGGUACAAAGGCAAGAGUGCCUGGCCUCACCUAGG